rnacentral:rRNA from 1 species
UGAAGCGGCAACAGCUCAAAUUUGAAAUCUGGCCUCGGCCCGAGUUGUAAUUUGCAGAGGAUGUUUCUGGCGCGGUGCCUUCCGAGUUCCCUGGAACGGGACGCCACAGAGGGUGAGAGCCCCGUAUGGUUGGACACCAAGCCUGUGUGAAACUCCUUCGACGAGUCGAGUAGUUUGGGAAUGCUGCUCAAAAUGGGAGGUAAAUCUCUUCUAAAGCUAAAUACCGGCCAGAGACCGAUAGCGCACAAGUAGAGUGAUCGAAAGAUGAAAAGCACCUUGAAAAGGGGGUUAAACAGUACGUGAAAUUGUUGAAAGGGAAGCGCUUGUGACCAGACUUGCGCCGGGCGGCUCAUCCGGGGUUCUCCCCGGUGCACUCCGCCCGGCUCAGGCCAGCAUCGGUUUUCGUUGGGGGAUAAGAACGUCAGGAACGUGGCCCUCCCUCGGGAGGGUGUUAUAGCCUGGCGUACGAUACCCUGGCGGGGACCGAGGUUCGCGCUCCGCAAGGAUGCUGGCGUAAUGGUCAUCAGCGACCCGUCUUGAAACACGGACCAAGGAGUCGUCCAUUAGAGCGAGCGUUUGGGUGUCAAACCCGCACGCGUAAUGAAAGUGAAAUUAGGUGAGAGCUUCGGCGCAUCAUCGACCGAUCCUGAUGUUCUCGGAUGGAUUUGAGUAAGAGUUUUAACGGACGGACCCGAAAGACAGUGAACUAUGCUUGUAUAGGGUGAAGCCAGAGGAAACUCUGGUGGAGGCUCGCAGCGGUUCUGACGUGCAAAUCG